CGGUAAUUACGUGGGACGUAAAGCGCAUGCAGGUGGUUUAGUUAAGUCAGAUGUAGAAACGGCCCGGGGCUACAACCGUACGGUAAUUGCUAUUUAGAAACGUGGACAAACUAGAGUACUGUAGGGAGGGGGUAGUAAUUCGAGGUGUAGCGUGAAAAUGCGUAGAGAUCUGAAGGAAUACCGGUGGCGAAGGCGGCCCCCUGGACAGAUACUGACACUCAGAUGCGAAAGCGUGGGGAGCAAACAGGAUUAGAUACCCUGGUAG
rnacentral:rRNA from 1 species